rnacentral:rRNA from 1 species
CAGUUGCCGCGGUAAUACAGAGGGUGCAAGCGUUAAUCGGAAUUACUGGGCGUAAAGCGCGCGUAGGUGGUUUGUUAAGUUGGAUGUGAAAUCCCCGGGCUCAACCUGGGAACUGCAUCCAAAACUGGCAAGCUAGAGUAUGGUAGAGGGUGGUGGAAUUUCCUGUGUAGCGGUGAAAUGCGUAGAUAUAGGAAGGAACACCAGUGGCGAAGGCGACCACCUGGACUGAUACUGACACUGAGGUGCGAAAGCGUGGGGAGCAAACAGGAUUAGAUACCCCCGUAGUCCCUGUCUCUUAUAC